GCUCUGGUCUAAAGUAGUGCUAUAUAGGGAAUAAGGCUCUGGUCUAAAGUAGUGCACUAUUAUAGGGAAUAGGGCUCUGGUCUAAAGUAGUGCACUAUAUAGGGAAUAGGGUGCCAUAGGGCUCUGGUCUAAAGUAGUGCACUAUUAUAGGGAAUAGGGUGCCAUUUGGGAAACAUCAAUAGAAUGGAUGAAAUCCUGCCAGAAUCACAACGUCAGGGGACCCUAUAAAGUCAAGGAUCCAGAGAGUGAUGUCGUAGUGAGACAAACCGCUCCAGAGGGGGGGUUGAAUAGUCAAUACAAGUUCUAUUGUAUUGGUUCUUAAUGAACAGUUUCAUUGGGUGUGUCUAAAACGUCUUCCUUCCCUCUGUCUCUCACUUCCUGUCCUUCACGAGAGCCUAUUAGAAGUCACAGGACAGGUGGUGGAUGGUAGACUAUCAGGGACUGUAUUCAUAAUGUAGAUGGUAGAUGGUAGACUAUCAGGGACUGUAUUCAUAAUGUAGAUGGUAGAUGGUAGACUCUCAGGGACUGUAUUCAUAAUGUAGAUAUUUGAUGGUAGACUAUCAGGGACUGUAUUCAUAAUGUAGAUGGUAGAUUAUCAGGGACUGUAUUCAUAAUGUAGAUGGUAGAUGGUAGACUCUCAGGGACUGUAUUCAUAAUGUAGAUGGUAGACUAUCAGGGACUGUAUUCAUAAUGUAGAUGGUAGAUGGUAGACUAUCAGGGACUGUAUUCAUAAUGUAGAUGGUAGAUUAUCAGGGACUAUAUUCAUAAUGUAGAUGGUAGACUAUCAGGGACUGUAUUCAUAAUGUAGAUGGUAGAUGGUAGACUCUCAGGGACUGUAUUCAUAAUGUAGAUGGUAGAUGGUAGACUCUCAGGGACUGUAUUCAUAAUGUAGAUGGUAGAUGGUAGACUCUCAGGGACUGUAUUCAUAAUGUAGAUGGUAGACUAUCAGGGACUAUAUUCAUAAUGUAGAUGGUAGAUGGUAGACUACCAGGGACUGUAUUCAUAAUGUAGAUGGUAGACUCUCAGGGACUGUAUUCAUAAUGUAGAUGGUAGAUGGUAGACUAUCAGGGACUGUAUUCAUAAUGUAGAUGGUAGACUCUCAGGGACUGUAUUCAUAAUGUAGAUGGUAGACUACCAGGGACUGUAUUCAUAAUGUAGAUGGUAGACUAUCAGGGACUGUAUUCAUAAUGUAGAUGGUAGACUCUCAGGGACUGUAUUCAUAAUGUAGAUGGUAGACUAUCAGGGACUGUAUUCAUAAUGUAGAUGGUAGACUAUCAGGGACUGUAUUCAUAAUGUAGAU
rnacentral:lncRNA from 1 species